UACGUAGGGGGCAAGCGUUGUCCGGAAUCAUUGGGCGGAAAGCGCGUGUAGGCGGUCCGGUAAGUCCGCUGUGAAAGUCGGGGGCUCAACCCUCGGAUGCCGGUGGAUACUGUCGGGCUUGAGUACGGAAGAGGCGAGUGGAAUUCCUGGUGUAGCGGUGAAAUGCGCAGAUAUCAGGAGGAACACCAAUUGCGAAGGCAGCUCGCUGGGACGUAACUGACGCUGAGACGCGAAAGCGUGGGGAGCAAACAGG
rnacentral:rRNA from 1 species